UACAGAGGUCCCGAGCGUUGUUCGGAUUCACUGGGCGUAAAGGGUGCGUAGGCGGUUUUCUAAGUUUGAUGUGAAAUCCCGGGGCUUAACCCUGGAAUUGCAUUGAAUACUGGGAGACUAGAGUACUGGAGAGGAAACUGGAAUUUACGGUGUAGCAGUGAAAUGCGUAGAGAUCGUAAGGAAGACCAGUGGCGAAGGCGAGUUUCUGGACAGUUACUGACGCUGAGGCACGAAGGCCAGGGGAGCAAACGGG
rnacentral:rRNA from 1 species